GACAAGAUGCUUUAGUCUGAAUUUCCUUAUCUGUAACAGGAGAGUAAUACAUACUGUGGCAGACAUUUUCAAUUGUCUAGCUUAUUGGCAUUUUCUCUCAUCUUCAGUGUUCAUAAAACUCUACUUUGUACUCUCAGGUAGACCCUGCCUAGCUCAUGGAGCUGAAUGACUGGCAUGACAAAGCAUGGCUGGUAUUAAAUUGCUGAGCAUCUAGGGAGCCAGCGUGACACAGGCAAGGCUAAUCUGCUGUGAAUUGGGACAGCGGCUAUCAGGGGGAUCGUAGGGACUGAAGGGAGCACAAGGGGCCUUCUGGGAUGCUGGCAAUCUGUUUCUUCACCUCGUUACUGGUGACAUGGUGUUUUCAGUUUGUGAAGAUUCAGUGCACUCGUGAUAUGUGCACUUUUCUGGAUGUAUGUUACACUAAAACAUCAGAAGAAUUGAUGUGCAUCUUAAAGUCAAGGUUGUCUUGGAAUCUAGGAACUUGGUGACAGAAAAAUGUCACCUGCAACAUGACUUUAAGACUGACGAGGAAAAGUAAGCUGCUAGUUCCUGUAUCCAAAGCAGUGUUUUCAGAUGAACCAAAAAAUUCUGCAAAAGCUUUUCUAAUUUGCUAAACUCUAAAAAAAGUAUUUUAUUAACUAGUUUUGCUGCUUUGAAAAACAUGUAAAAAAUUUUUCUACCAUUGGAUCCUGCACAUCUUAUAAAAACUGGACUUCCUGGUAUCUGGCAAAAGAUUUUUUUUUUUUUCCUGCAGAGGCAUGAGGGAAUA
rnacentral:lncRNA from 1 species